CCUACGGGUGGCUGCAGUGGGGAAUAUUGCACAAUGGGCGCAAGCCUGAUGCAGCCAUGCCGCGUGUGUGAAGAAGGCCUUCGGGUUGUAAAGCACUUUCAGCGGGGAGGAAGGCGGUGAGGUUAAUAACCUCAUCGAUUGACGUUACCCGCAGAAGAAGCACCGGCUAACUCCGUGCCAGCAGCCGCGGUAAUACGGAGGGUGCAAGCGUUAAUCGGAAUUACUGGGCGUAAAGCGCACGCAGGCGGUCUGUCAAGUCGGAUGUGAAAUCCCCGGGCUCAACCUGGGAACUGCAUUCGAAACUGGCAGGCUAGAGUCUUGUAGAGGGGGGUAGAAUUCCAGGUGGAGCGGUGAAAUGCGUAGAGAUCUGGAGGAAUACCGGUGGCGAAGGCGGCCCCCUGGACAAAGACUGACGCUCAGGUGCGAAAGCGUGGGGAGCAGACAGGAUUAGAUACCCUUGUAGUC
rnacentral:rRNA from 1 species